rnacentral:lncRNA from 1 species
AAACGUGAAAGUGAAAUACUAUAAUACUCGUAUAAAGAAAAGUUGUAUUAAUUCAUUAAUUAAUGUAUAUUGUGUUCUAGUGUUAUGUAUUACUAGUUCAUACAACAAAAAAUUGGCGAAAUGUUCACACCUUUCAUUUUGUUUUAUGGCUCAAAUGUUAAUUAUUUUUCAUCACAUCAUACAUCAAUUAUGUUGGAUGACAUAUAAUACAGUUAUUAUUCAACUCUGCCAAGUGAUUAUUGUACGUACCCUAUUUAUUUUUGAACAGCAUGGUACGGAAAUAUUCAUUAAGCCAAAGUCUUCAACCACAUGGGAUUAUUUGAAUUAUCAAAACAACGGGUUCCUGUGCAUAUCAUUGGUUUUCUAUAUACCAACGCGAAAGCUUGACAAUAAUUUAACAAGCGAAAAAGUGAUUGCAUCAUGUGCUAUACUCAAUUUGGUUACCGUUGUUUUUAUUCAAGCGUUUAUGCCACUAAAUAUAUACAUAUACGAAAAUGGAUAAGACACAGUUUGUAUUACUCCUUUGUGUUUUUAUAAACUUGAAAGUCAUGAUCAAUAUCAUCGCAUUCGAAGGCCGAAAAAAUAUAUUUAUAGGUACCGUUAUGUGGAAGUCUUGUAAAUCUUACGGACAGGAAAUGGCCGACCUAAAUGUUCGUGGUAUCCCGGUGGACCAGUAAGCAAUAUACAAUGGUUCACUAUACAUAGAACUUCUCAGAACAAUGUUUUUAAUACGAUGGGAUGGUAUUGGGAUAUCAUUGAUUUCAAAUUUGAAGAUACCCAUAGAUUGUCCUAGAACUCAGUGGUCGUUCUAAUUGCCUACAGCCAACACUCAACUCAUAAAUCAGUACUUGGAUUUUUAAUCACAGCCCGACUUUAUAUAUUUAGAUACAUUUGUUACAUUAAUUAAAUUUAUAUCAUCGACAUUAAACAUACUUAUGUACAGAG